rnacentral:lncRNA from 1 species
GGAGACCUCGAGGCUGCCAUGGCCGCCGGCGCCGCCGCCAUGGCGAAAAGUGCUUCUCGGGCGCUCUGGCCUCGCGAUGCUCUACAUCAACGUCUUACCUUCUCGCUCCUCCAUUGAUGUAGAUGGUUUCUCUCGCCCCCUACACCCCCCUCCCAAGUCCCAACCACAAACACUCUAGCUUUAGGGUUUGCUGCAGCGGUGGUGGCACAGCCUUGCACCGCGAGAGGAUGUACAAGAAGACGGCCGUGUUGCAGCGAAAUUGCAUCCAUUUCCUAUGGUUAGUACCGUGUACCGGCCAAUUUGCAAUUUACACUAUGUGUUCUGUUCUCUACAGAAAUCAUUUUAAGGGUCACAUAAUUUUGUCUGUACAGCUUCAAUUCCAUUUGUGUUGUGCAACAUGAUUGCGAAUUCCUAUGCUGCAGACUUCUAAGGAAACUUCUUCUUCAUAUUGCCAUUUCUCUCAAUCUGGUAGUGAACUCUCAUGCAACACAUUUCUAAUAACAUUUAAUUUGCUAUAAAAAAGUAAGAAAAGAACUCUCAUGCAAUUCAUCUUGAGAUAUCAUACUAUGCACGUAUAAAUAGGUUCCUCCAUAUAAUUCAUAGCAUUUGAAUGACGGAUCUCUAGAUUGAGAUACAGACAUUUUGUGUUUGUCUUGCUCAGUGAUCCCUGCCAGGCAGAGGGUCUUUGUGCUUUCACCUCUGCCACAUGUAUGUGUUUUCUUCUUAUUUAUAAAGCAGCAUUACCAGAUCGUUUUAAAUGAAAAAAGUUCAGAUAUAAACAUGAUCCUAACAUGGAGGGUGCAUGGGAUAUUUGCUAACUGAUUUUUAUGUUCUCAUCAGAAUGGGAAAGGAGAAGUACAAAGGCAUCUUAAUUAGCAAGUAUGUUACUAACAAUUAUAAUACCAACUUGUUGGAGCAAUGAAGCAUUAUUUUAUUUUUUAUUUGGAAGAUUGUACACUUUUACAAUGUUUUUCCUGACCAUGGUAUCUAACGCCGCAUUAAACUUGCACUUGUUCUUAUAAUGUCAUCGCCAUAGUUAAAAUGCAGACAUGGUAAGGAAAUAACAAAACGCUCAGUCUGAUGGUGCUGAAUACCAGUGUAAGAUCACAAGAAACUUUGAAAAAAAUGAGUUGCAUGUGGCACUGCCUGCGCCUGAAGCCAAGAACAUCAAAAUGAAGCAUCCAUCAAUGAAUGCCUACCAGCAAAAGGAAGAGAAGUGUGCUAUUAUGAUUAAUAGUGUAGAUAUAUGUUUUGUGUUGUUUGGAAAGAGAAGCUGUAAAAAUGUAGCUAAAUGAUACUCUGUUUUACUUGUGAUUCUUGUGAAUGUAUAUUUCUUUCCUUAAAAUUCUUAUGGACAAACUUCAACCAUAAUUAAAAAUCUGAUCAUGCU